GCCCGGAUGAGCCUGCUGGGGAAGCCGCUGUCCUACUCGAGCGGCCAGAGCUGCCGGCGCAACGCCAAGUACCGGCGCGUGCAGAACUACCUGUACAACGUGCUGGAGCGGCCGCGUGGCUGGGCGUUCGUGUACCACGCGUUCGUGGAGGAAUGCUUUUCUAACUAG
rnacentral:lncRNA from 1 species